UACGAAGGGGGCUAGCGUUGCUCGGAAUCACUGGGCGUAAAGAGCGCGCAGGCGGUCGUUCAAGUCGAGUGUGAAAGCCCCCCGGCUCAACUGGGGAGGGUCACUCGAUACUGAUCGACUCGAAGGCAGGAGAGGGUAGUGGAAUUCCCGGUGUAGUGGUGAAAUGCGUAGAUAUCGGGAGGAACACCAGUGGCGAAGGCGACUACCUGGCCUGUUCUUGACGCUGAGGCGCGAAAGCUAGGGGAGCAAACGGGG
rnacentral:rRNA from 1 species